rnacentral:rRNA from 1 species
GGAAUAUUGGUCAAUGGACGCAAGUCUGAACCAGCCAUGCCGCGUGCAGGAAGACGGCUCUAUGAGUUGUAAACUGCUUUUGUACUAGGGUAAACGCUUCUACGUGUAGGAGCCUGAAAGUAUAGUACGAAUAAGGAUCGGCUAACUCCGUGCCAGCCGCCGCGGUAAUACGGAGGAUCCAAGCGUUAUCCGGAUUUAUUGGGUUUAAAGGGUGCGUAGGCGGUUUGAUAAGUUAGAGGUGAAAUACCGGGGCUCAACUCCGGAACUGCCUCUAAUACUGUUGAACUAGAGAGUAGUUGCGGUAGGCGGAAUGUAUGGUGUAGCGGUGAAAUGCUUAGAGAUCAUACAGAACACCGAUUGCGAAGGCAGCUUACCAAACUAUAUCUGACGUUGAGGCACGAAAGCGUGGGGAGCAAACAGGA